rnacentral:rRNA from 1 species
GAAGAACGCUGGCGGCGUGCUUAACACAUGCAAGUCGAACGGUAAGGCCCUUCGGGGUACACGAGUGGCGAACGGGUGAGUAACACGUGGGUGAUCUGCCCUGCACUUCGGGAUAAGCCUGGGAAACUGGGUCUAAUACCGGAUAGGACCACUGCCUGCAUGGGUGGUGGUGGAAAGCUUUUGCGGUGUGGGAUGGGCCCGCGGCCUAUCAGCUUGUUGGUGGGGUGAUGGCCUACCAAGGCGACGACGGGUAGCCGGCCUGAGAGGGUGACCGGCCACACUGGGCCUGAGAUACGGCCCAGACUCCUACGGGAGGCAGCAGUGGGGAAUAUUGCACAAUGGGAGCAAGCCUGAUGCAGCGACGACGCGUGCGGGGUGACGGCCUUCGGGUUGUAAACCUCUUUCAGCACCGACGAAGCGCAAGUGACGGUAGGUGCAGAAGAAGGACCGGCCAACUACGUGCCAGCCGCCGCGGUAA